rnacentral:lncRNA from 1 species
UCAUCAGUCCAAAUAUGAAGCAUCAACAUCUACACCAUUGAAGCGCCAACUGUGUAUUUCUGCAACACCAAUGCCAGCUCUGUCUAGCAUUCAUGGAGAAUCAUCUGAAAGGGAUGAUAAUUUGGAGGAGGUGAUGGAACAAGGUGAAACUAAAAAAGAAGGAUCUUCACAAAUGAUAGAGUCAUCAGAUGACACAUGGUCACCAAACAGAGAACCAGAAGUUGAUUCGUCUUCAGAGGAGGACGAAACCAUCGAGAUGGACAGCGGUACUGAUGACAGCGGUGAUGAGGACUACACACCUUAUACACACAUAAGGACUGGAGCAGCAUUACAAAAAACAUUACAACUUGAGACUCUGCAAGAAAUUAACAUAGAGGAUACAGUUCAUGACUGUAAUAUCCCAGAAGCAACUGACCGACGUUUGACAAGCAAGAAAGGUCUUCCUCGACGCUACAAGCUAAGGCCUGAGGAUCCAAGGCGUUAUGGUUUGCUGUCCGGAGUUCCUGCACCAUCAACAGAGGAACUUCUACAACACCUACGGACUUGCGGUGAUGUGGGAGCAUACACACCAUGA